GAUGAACGCUGGCGGCGUGCCUAAUACAUGCAAGUCGAGCGAAUGGAUUAAGAGCUUGUUCUUAUGAAGUUAGCGGCGGACGGGUGAGUAACACGUGGGCAACCUGCCCAUAAGACUGGGAUAACUCCGGGAAACCGGGGCUAAUACCGGAUAACAUUUUGAACCGCAUGGUUCGAAAUUGAAAGGCGGCUUCGGCUGUCACUUAUGGAUGGACCCGCGUCGCAUUAGCUAGUUGGUGAGGUAACGGCUCACCAAGGCAACGAUGCGUAGCCGACCUGAGAGGGUGAUCGGCCACACUGGGACUGAGACACGGCCCAGACUCCUACGGGAGGCAGCAGUAGGGAAUCUUCCGCAAUGGACGAAAGUCUGACGGAGCAACGCCGCGUGAGUGAUGAAGGCUUUCGGGUCGUAAAACUCUGUUGUUAGGGAAGAACAAGUGCUAGUUGAAUAAGCUGGCACCUUGACGGUACCUAACCAGAAAGCCACGGCUAACUACGUGCCAGCAGCCGCCGUAA
rnacentral:rRNA from 1 species